rnacentral:misc_RNA from 1 species
UGGUAGUGGAGUGGUGGGGAGGGAACCGUGCAGUCCGUCUCGAGUAAGUCGUAGUGUGAGGUUUAGUGUCGUAUAGUAAUCAGCAUAAGAAUAAAUGGAAUCAUGUUUGAUCACACAACACAACGUAUGAUUCUUAGAUGGACAUUUUUAAUGUUGGUGUGUGUUGCCACAGGCGGACUGCUCGGAUGUAACGCGCUCAACUGGUGCUACUACCUCCACCCCUGCUUCUCGGCCUUCCAGCCCACCACGGCGUUCUGCGGCAUAGACAGUGCCCGGGGGGAGGGCCGCAUCUUCCGCAACUAUUGCGAGUUCAAGCGGCACAACACGUGCUACCAGACUAACUACAUUCCGACGUUCCGCAAGGCAUGCUUCGUCCGGUACCCGUACACAAGGGACGACUACGCGUUUAUGGUGAAGCCUCGCUUUGAUAUGGGCGCUGUUAACAAGAAUAAAGGUUGAUCCAUGAUACAACCGUACCGGAAGAGGAACGAGGAUUCUUCAAAUUGAGUGAACAGCCUGAGUGUCCAGGGAGUGGUAUAGUGUUUAGAAGAGAAAAAAUUAAAUUAAAAAUGUAAAUACUCACUUAAGACCUGAAUAUAUUACUUAAUAUUC